UUGCGGGUGAGGAUGGUGCAACCCAUGGUCCAGGUAACUGUUGAGUCAGAGUGAGCGGGUGGUGUUCAGCAGAGAUAGGUUAUCAGAAUUGUGAUGGUCAUCGAGAAAUUGGUUGAAGAAGACGAUAGGGUUUGACGAAGGGGUGUGUUUGUUUAUGUAUAUGUUUCAGCGAAUAGUUCGUGAACUGUUAGACGAGAAGUUCGUUUAUACUGGUUUGUUUAAUUAA
rnacentral:lncRNA from 1 species